rnacentral:siRNA from 1 species
GAAUAUGAGGAGGAAGAUGGUUU